rnacentral:rRNA from 1 species
AGUCGAGCGACUGAUUAGAAGCUUGCUUCUAUGACGUUAGCGGCGGACGGGUGAGUAACACGUGCAACCUGCCUGUAAGACUGGGAUAACUUCGGGAAACCGAAGCUAAUACCGGAUAGGAUCUUCUCCUUCAUGGGAGAUGAUUGAAAGAUGGUCGGCUAUCACUUACAGAUGGGCCCGCGGUGCAUUAGCUAGUUGGUGAGGUAACGGCUCACCAAGGCAACGAUGCAUCCGACCUGAGAGGGUGAUCGGCCACACUGGGACUGAGACACGGCCCACUCCUACGGGAGGCAGCAGUAGGGAAUUUCCGCAAUGGACGAAAGUCUGACGGAGCAACGCCGCGUGAGUGAUGGCUUUCGGGUCGUAAAACUCUGUUGUUAGGGAGAACAAGUACGAGAGUAACUGCUCGUACCUUGACGGUACCUAACCAGAAAGCCACGGCUAACUACGUGCCAGCAGCCGCGUAAUACGUAGGUGGCAAGCGUUAUCCGGAAUUAUUGGGCGUAAAGCGCGCGCAGGCGGUUUCUUAAGUCUGAUGUGAAAGCCCACGGCUCAACCGUGGAGGGUCAUUGGAAACUGGGGAACUUGAGUGCAGAAGAGAAAAGCGGAAUUCCACGUUAGCGGUGAAAUGCGUAGAGAUGUGGAGGAACACCAGUGGCGAAGGCGGCUUUUUGGUCUGUAACUGACGCUGAGGCGCGAAAGCGUGGGGAGCAAACAGGAUUAGAUACCCUGGUAGUCCACGCCGUAAACGAUGAGUGCUAAGUGUUAGAGGGUUUCCGCCCUUUAGUGCUGCAGCUAACGCAUUAAGCACUCCGCCUGGGGAGUACGGUCGCAAGACUGAAACUCAAAGGAAUUGACGGGGGCCCGCACAAGCGGUGGAGCAUGUGGUUUAAUUCGCAACGCGAAGAACCUUACCAGGUCUUGACAUCCUCUGACAACUCUAGAGAUAGAGCGUUCCCCUUCGGGGGACAGAGUGACAGGUGGUGCAUGGUUGUCGUCAGCUCGUGUCGUGAGAUGUUGGGUUAAGUCCCGCAACGAGCGCAACCCUUGAUCUUAGUUGCCAGCAUUUAGUUGGGCACUCUAAGGUGACUGCCGGUGACAAACCGGAGGAAGGUGGGGAUGACGUCAAAUCAUCAUGCCCCUUAUGACCUGGGCUACACACGUGCUACAAUGGAUGGUACAAAGGGCUGCAAGACCGCGAGGUCAAGCCAAUCCCAUAAAACCAUUCUCAGUUCGGAUUGUAGGCUGCAACUCGCCUACAUGAAGCUGGAAUCGCUAGUACGCGGAUCAGCAUGCCGCGGUGAAUACGUUCCCGGGCCUUGUACACACCGCCCGUCACACCACGAGAGUUUUAACACCCGAAGUCGGUGGAC